rnacentral:lncRNA from 1 species
UUUGAUUAUAUAUAAUAAAAGAAAUUUAAAAAGGGCUUUAGAAAAAAUUGAUUUGAAAAUAUUAAUGCAAAAUAUAUUACCUCCCAGUUAGAUUAUGUAACCGAGGUUAAUACUGAUAAAAAGUGAAAAAAAGUUAACAAAGAAAAAAGGGAAGCUAGAAAGGUGCCAACUAAGAAAAAAAGUAAACAUAAAAUAACAU